GAUGAACGCUGGCGGCGUGCCUAAUACAUGCAAGUCGAGCGAACAGACGAGGAGCUUGCUCCUCUGACGUUAGCGGCGGACGGGUGAGUAACACGUGGAUAACCUACCUAUAAGACUUGGAUAACUUCGGGAAACCGGAGCUAAUACCGGAUAAUAUAUUGAACCGCAUGGUUCAAUAGUGAAAGACGGUUUUGCUGUCACUUAUAGAUGGAUUCGCGCCGCAUUAGCUAGUUGGUAAGGUAACGGCUUACCAAGGCAACGAUGCGUAGCCGACCUGAGAGGGUGAUCGGCCACACUAGAACUGAGACACGGUCCAGAAUCCUACGAGAGGCAGCAGUAGGGAAUCUUCCGCAAUGGGCGGAAGCCUGCCGGAGCAGCGCCGCGUGAGUGAUGAAGGUCUUCGGAUCGUAAAACUCUGUUAUUAGGGAAGAACAAAUGUGUAAGUGACUAUGCACGUCUUGACGGUACCUAAACAGAAAGCCACGGCUAACUACGUG
rnacentral:rRNA from 1 species